CUUGUUGGAGGAAGUGUGCCACUGGAGGUGGGCUUUGAAGCUUCAAAGCUCCAUGCCAGACCCAGUGUGUGUGUCUCUGCCUGCUGCCAGGAGAUAGGCUGUAAAGCUCGCCCUACUGCUCCAGUGCCACACCUGUCUGCUUCCGACCCUGAGGCUCACAGAUUCACCCACUGACACUGUGCACAAGCCCCCAGGUAAAUGCUUUCUUUAUAAGAGUUGCCUUGGUCAUAGUGUCUCUUCGCAGUGACAGAACAGUGCCUGAGAUGAUGUCUGUUUGCACACAGCAAAUAGACACACAUUGCAUACAGACGAGUACAGUUUCUGCUAUGCUAGGGAAUUUACUAUUGUUGGUUUCCUUUAUUUUUUUUAUUGUUGGCAAUAUUUGGAACUGAACCUGGAGUGCCACGCAUGCUAGGCAAGUGUUCUACCUCUGAGCUAUUACCCCACUGAGCUAUAGUAAUAUUUUGAGUAUGAGUUGAAAUAACCUGAUGAGAUUGGGCUUGGUGGUCUCUGUAAAGUACUUAAUCUAUAAAAUACUAUCUAAUCUAUUAGU
rnacentral:lncRNA from 1 species